CAAAGGGGUUCACCUCUUCCCAUUCCGAACAGAGAAGUUAAGCCCUUUAGCGCCGAUGGUACUACCUUCGUGGUGGGAGAGUAGGUCACUGCCAACU
rnacentral:rRNA from 1 species